UGGGGAAUAUUGCGCAAUGGGGGGAACCCUGACGCAGCGACGCCGCGUGAGUGAAGAAGGCUUUCGGGUCGUAAAGCUCUUAUCUGCGGGAAGAAGAGACGGUACCGCAGGAGAAAGCCCCGGCUAACUACGUGCCAGCAGCCGCGGUAAUACGUAGGGGGCAAGCGUUGUCCGGAGUAACUGGGCGUAAAGGGCGCGUAGGCGGAAUAAUAAGUCAGUUGUGAAAGAUAUGGGCUCAACUCAUAGAACGCAUCUGAAACUGUUAAAUCUGGAGUAUAGGAGAGGGAAACGGAAUUCCUGGUGUAGCGGUGAAAUGCGUAGAGAUCAGGAAGAACAUCAGUGGAGAAGGCGGUUUCCUGGCCUAAAACUGACGCUGAAGCGCGAAAGCAUGGGUAGCGAACAGGAUUAGAUACCCUGGUAGUCCACGCUGUAAACGAUGUCGAUUUUGGAGGUUGUGCCCUUGAGGCGUGGCUUCCGGAGCUAACGCGUUAAAUCGACCGCCUGGGGAGUACGGCCGCAAGGUUAAAACUUAAAGGAAUUGACGGGGUCAUAGCUGUUUCCU
rnacentral:rRNA from 1 species